CAUGCAAGUCGAACGGAAGGCUCCAGCUUGCUGGAGUACUCGAGUGGCGAACGGGUGAGUAACACGUGGGUAAUCUGCCCUGCACUCUGGGAUAAGCCUGGGAAACUGGGUCUAAUACUGGAUAUGACCUUUCUCCUUAUGGGGUUUGGUGGAAAGUUUUUCGGUGUAGGAUGAGCCCGCGGCCUAUCAGCUUGUUGGUGGGGUGAUGGCCUACCAAGGCGACGACGGGUAGCCGGCCUGAGAGGGUGAUCGGCCACAUUGGGACUGAGAUACGGCCCAGACUCCUACGGGAGGCAGCAGUGGGGAAUAUUGCACAAUGGGCGGAAGCCUGAUGCAGCGACGCCGCGUGAGGGAUGACGGCCUUCGGGUUGUAAACCUCUUUCAGCAGGGACGAAGCGUAAGUGACGGUACCUGCAGAAGAAGCACCGGCUAACUAUGUGCCAG
rnacentral:rRNA from 1 species